CACCGCCGCGGUAAAACAGAGGGUGCGAGCGUUAAUCGGAUUUACUGGGCGUAAAGCGUGCGUAGGCGGCUUCUUAAGUCGGAUGUGAAAUCCCUGAGCUUAACUUAGGAAUUGCAUUCGAUACUGGGAAGCUAGAGUAUGGGAGAGGAUGGUAGAAUUCCAGGUGUAGCGGUGAAAUGCGUAGAGAUCUGGAGGAAUACCGAUGGCGAAGGCAGCCAUCUGGCCUAAUACUGACGCUGAGGUACGAAAGCAUGGGGAGCAAACAGGAUUAGAGACCCCCGUAGUCCCUGUCUCUUAUACA
rnacentral:rRNA from 1 species